rnacentral:rRNA from 1 species
AGGGUUUGAUUAUGGCUCAGGACGAACGCUGGCGGCGUGCCUAACACAUGCAAGUCGAACGAGAAUCUUUGGAAUGAUUCUUUCGGGAUGAAUUCCAAAGAGGAAAGUGGCGGACGGGCGAGUAACGCGUGAGUAACCUGCCCAUAAGAGGGGGAUAAUCCAUGGAAACGUGGACUAAUACCGCAUAUUGUAGUUAAGUUGCAUGACUUGAUUAUGAAAGAUUUAUCGCUUAUGGAUGGACUCGCGUCAGAUUAGAUAGUUGGUGAGGUAACGGCUCACCAAGUCAACGAUCUGUAGCCGAACUGAGAGGUUGAUCGGCCGCAUUGGGACUGAGACACGGCCCAG